rnacentral:ncRNA from 2 species
UAACAACGAAUGGCGAGAAGUCAGCAGAAGCCAUAGUAAACCAGUGGUUGCAAACACUGGCGAAGGGC